rnacentral:tRNA from 1 species
UAGCUUAGUGGUAGAGCACUUGUCUGGUGUGCACAAGGCCCUGGGUUCAAUUCCCGG